rfam:Tatumella morbirosei strain LMG 23360 Contig3, whole genome shotgun sequence.
CAUGCAAACCACAAUGUUUUUCUUCUCAUUCUUUUUUAGCUUCCCCCCCUCCGGGAGAUGAUUCGUCCUGAAAGAAUGAAUGAGAAGACGAACAGAAAAGCCUCCCGAACGGGAGGCUUUUUUAUU